AUUGAACGCUGGCGGCAGGCCUAACACAUGCAAGUCGAACGAGUGGCGGACGGGUGAGUAAUGUCUGGGAAACUGCCUGAUGGAGGGGGAUAACUACUGGAAACGGUAGCUAAUACCGCAUACCAUCAGAAGUGCCCAGAUGGGCUUCGCUUGUUGGUGGGGUAACGGCUCACCAAGGAGACGAUCCCUAGCUGGUCUGAGAGGAGGACCAGCUACACUGGAACGGAGACCCGGUCCAGACUCCUACGUGAGGCAGCAGUGGGGAAUAUUGCACAAUGGGCGCACGCCUGCUGCAGCCAUGCCGCGUGUAUGAAGAAGGCCUUCGGGUGGUAAAGUACUUUCAGCGGGGAGGCGUUACCCGCAGAAGAAGCACCGGCUAACUCCGUGCCAGCCGCCGCGGUAAUUC
rnacentral:rRNA from 1 species